rnacentral:rRNA from 1 species
AGAACGAACGCUGGCGGCAUGCCUAAUACAUGCAAGUCGAACGAACUCUUCGGAGUUAGUGGCGCACGGGUGCGUAACGCGUGGGAAUCUGCCCUUGGGUUCGGAAUAACAGUUGGAAACGACUGCUAAUACCGGAUGAUGACGAAAGUCCAAAGAUUUAUCGCCCAGGGAUGAGCCCGCGUAGGAUUAGCUAGUUGGUGAGGUAAAGGCUCACCAAGGCGACGAUCCUUAGCUGGUCUGAGAGGAUGAUCAGCCACACGUGGGACUGAGACACGGCCCAGACUCCGUACGGGAGGCAGCAGUAGGGAAUAUUGGACAAGUGGGCGAAAGCCUGAUCCAGCAAUGCCGCGUGAGUGAUGAAGGCUUAGGUUGUAAGCUCGUUUACCGAGAUAGAUAA